GACGAACGCUGGCGGCGUGCUUAACACAUGCAAGUCGAACGGAAAGGCCCUGCUUGCCGGGUACUCGAGAGGCGAACGGGUGAGUAACACGUGGGUGAUCUGCCCUGCACUUCGGGAUAAGCCUGGGAAACUGGGUCUAAUACCGGAUAGGAGCCAUUUUUAGUGUGAUGGUUGGAAAGUUUUUUCGGUGUAGGAUGAGCUCGCGGCCUAUCAGCUUGUUGGUGGGGUAAUGGCCUACCAAGGCGGCGACGGGUAGCCGGCCUGAGAGGGUGGACGGCCACAUUGGGACUGAGAUACGGCCCAGACUCCUACGGGAGGCAGCAGUGGGGAAUAUUGCACAAUGGGCGCAAGCCUGAUGCAGCGACGCCGCGUGGGGGAGGACGGCCUUCGGGUUGUAAACUCCUUUCGCUAGGGACGAAGCUUUUUGUGACGGUACCUAGAUAAGAAGCACCGGCUAACUACGUG
rnacentral:rRNA from 1 species